rnacentral:rRNA from 1 species
UACGUAGGUGGCAAGCGUUAUCCGGAAUUAUUGGGCGUAAAGCGCGCGCAGGCGGUUUCUUAAGUCUGAUGUGAAAGCCCACGGCUCAACCGUGGAGGGUCAUUGGAAACUGGGAAACUUGAGUGCAGAAGAGAAAGCGGAAUUCCACGUGUAGCGGUGAAAUGCGUAGAGAUGUGGAGGAACACCCAGUGGCGAAAGCGG